CAUGGUUUACAUCAGUAAUACGAGUUUACAUCUUAUUCUUCUAACUCCAGACAUAGAAAUAAUACAUGCAAACAAACAGGAUGAACACACUCAGUAGGUUAUAAGCUUUGUAAUGAUACCAUACAAGGGGUAUUUAGCGUGAAGCAUAGUCCAGUCAUGUCAUAUUCAUAAGCAUAUUUCCAUAAAGCAUAUGGAGUGCAACAUCACAGGGUGUUCUGUUUCCUCUGCUACAACUGACAUCAUUUAGCUAUUUGGGAGCAUCAUGCCUUACACAGCAUUAGCUAUUAGUCAUGUCAUCGGGGUUGGAAGAGAAAUAAGAAUCCUGGGGUCCUGAACUUGGAUCUUGGCAGGUAAUAAGUCUUCCAAUUGCCUUUAAAGUGAUUCUGGCAUUCUAAAAUGAUUAGCCUGGUCUCUGGCUAAAUAGUAGGAUUCAAAAAUAUAUAAAAAGAAACAUUUCAGUUCAUCUUCAGAUAACCAAACUAAUGUAUUCCUAAACUGCUGAAAAGGCUUCUCUAUUUCAAUCUAGAGUAAAUUUGGUCUGGUCAAGUCAGACAACCCUUGAAAGCAGAGCAAUAAAAACUGAUAAUCACUAAGUGUCUUGUGUUCUGACAGGGUUACCUAUUCCUAGCUUUCUAGGCCUGCCCCUGUAUUUGGGUAACAGUUUCAGUUCAUCAAUAACUGUUUUUGAAACAUUAUAGGUUUUCAUUGUUCUCAAAUUAAGAUUGUUAAGAAUACUUUUUUAUGAUGUUAAAAAAAUGAAAAUCUGAGCAGUUCAUUUUGCUGUGUGUAUAAAAGUUGACUGGAGAUAUUCAUCUUGUGGCGCUUAUAAGCAGUGCAGGAGUGCAGUCUUUCAUGGCUGUUGCGAAAAUGUGUAGAAAAGUAUUAUUAUGCAAUCGUGGAGUUGCUGACUUCAGACAUGCGUAAUCACUGAACCAACUUUGUCAUACUUGGAUUCAAAGAGGACUGAGUUUUUGACUCAGCUGAGUUAUGACUAUAAAAACUUGGGUGAGAACAUAUUGGAAUGUGUCUUCAUUCUUGUAACUGGAAUUUCUAAGCGAAGCAUAGCUGAUGCUUUUUUGAAAACAUCAUCACUUUUGAACUGAGGCCAAGCCUAGAAACUUCAGUCCAAAAGAACUGAGAAAGUUAGUUAUAAAAAGAGCUAUAGUACUAGUUAGAACUCAGCCAUCAUUGUAGCAGUCUCAGCCAGCAAUCACUGCAAUGAGUUUACAUAAUCUCAGAUAAAAUAUAUACUACUUUUAUACAGCUUUAGGGUAGUAAGUAGGAGAGGAGUAACCCCAAAUGAUUAAGUGCGGGUUGACUUUGAUUUUGUGUAUCGUUCAUUAUUCUCCUACUUAUUCAAAACCUGCGAGUGUUUGUUUCUGUUUUAUGUUCGAGCUGCAUUUUAAAGUGACUCUGAAAAGGCCUCAUAGGAUUUCAAGUUCAGCUUGCCUCAGUGUCUGUCAGUGCUUCAAAACUGAAGUGAAGACCCACUAAAUCUAUGACAGAGCACUCUCUGAUACUCCACCGGAACGAGAGGAGUAAGUGCAUUGUCGUCUUCUAUACAAACCAGCGAAGGAAACAAUGGCAGCUGAAACCAGUGCCCAAGUGAUCUGUCAAAUGAAAGAUUACUAAAGGUGCAGACUGAACUGCUUUGGCCCUCAGUUGGGAACUUUUGUUUACGACCCACUGCAAUGAUGUUGUUGGACAACUUAGCGAGUCUUCGCUGGAAUGUUACGCACCUGUCCUGUCUCCGCCUCCAUUGUCGUUGACUUUCCAUCUAUUAUAAAGCUUGCCAAGAGGAGGAACUGAAGAGGCCUAUUGCGUUGCUUUCUAAAGAGCCAUUUGGACAGACGGAGCCUAACACAGGAGAGCUCUUUACUUUAUCAGACCUUAGCUGCUGGAAAUGCCUGUUCCUUUCCUAGAAAUUGCUGCCUACGUGAGGAGAGAGAAUGGGGAGGUAGAUAACACAAUGCACUUUGAGAUUCUAAAUGCUUCCCAUUGUUACAUGUUUGUAUCAAGAGAAGGCUGAGCUGUCCUAAGCAACAAGUGGAAGAUGUAACUGAAACCUUAGCCUGUCCUCUUGGUUACUCUUUCUUGCUCGUAUGCAAAAUAUAGCAAAUGAAAGUGUGGAAAACCAUUUAAUCUAUUCUCAAGCAAAGGGGCUGAAGAACUAUGCAUCUCUUGAAACAAUCUGACUGCAGGAUUAAUCCUUUGAGCCUAUUGAUCAAAGGGAUUUAUCCAAGGUAGCCAGUGCUCUUUUGCAUUGGAAGACCAGAGUUCUGCGUUGUGCUGGCUCUCUUGCAGUGUACUCUUUAAAGUACUGUGGGGCUGUUAAUGGGGGGAGGAGAUAGACCAGAAACGGCUGUCAGUUUCACAGCUGGCCUGCAGCAGACAUAAAUCGGUGAUCUAGAGAUGUAAGGUGCUUUCUUCCAUUUCAGUCUCAUGAACCAUCUGGUCUUGAUUAGCUUCACGUGCCAGUGUGUAAACUUUGUAAGGCAGCUGUCAUU